GGGGCUGUAGCUCAGCUGCAAAGCACUCAUCUAGCACAUGUGAGGCUCUGGGUUCAAUCCUCAGCACCACA
rnacentral:tRNA from 1 species